rfam:Aedes albopictus isolate Foshan contig54550, whole genome shotgun sequence.
UAGCCUUGUGGAUAAGGCUUCGGAUCGCCAAUCCGGAGACGGCGGGUUCGAUUCCCGU